UACGGGGGGGGCAAGCGUUGUUCGGAAUUACUGGGCGUAAAGCGCGCGUAGGCGGCUUUGUAAGUUAGAGGUGAAAGCCCGGGGCUCAACCCCGGAAUUGCCUUUAAGACUGCAUCGCUUGAAUCCGGGAGAGGUGAGUGGAAUUCCGAGUGUAGAGGUGAAAUUCGUAGAUAUUCGGAAGAACACCAGUGGCGAAGGCGGCUCACUGGACCGGCAUUGACGCUGAGGUGCGAAAGCGUGGGGAGCAAACAGG
rnacentral:rRNA from 1 species